rnacentral:rRNA from 1 species
GACGGGGGCUGCAAGUGUUAUCCGGAAUCACUGGGCGUAAAGCGUCUGCAGGUGGUUUCCUAAGUCCACUGUUAAACCUUGAGGCUCAACCUCAAAUCUGCAUUGGAAACUAGGAGACUUGAGUAUAGUAGGGGUAGAGGGAAUUUCCAGUGGAGCGGUGAAAUGCGUAGAUAUUGGAAAGAACACCGAUGGCGAAGGCACUCUACUGGGCUAUUACUGACACUCAGAGACGAAAGCUAGGGGAGCAAAUGGG